rnacentral:rRNA from 1 species
GACGAACGCUGGCGGCGUGCCUAAUACAUGCAAGUUGAGCGCUGAAGGUUGGUACUUGUACCGACUGGAUGAGCAGCGAACGGGUGAGUAACGCGUGGGGAAUCUGCCUUUGAGCGGGGGACAACAUUUGGAAACGAAUGCUAAUACCGCAUAAAAACUUUAAACACAAGUUUUAAGUUUGAAAGAUGCAAUUGCAUCACUCAAAGAUGAUCCCGCGUUGUAUUAGCUAGUUGGUGAGGUAAAGGCUCACCAAGGCGAUGAUACAUAGCCGACCUGAGAGGGUGAUCGGCCACAUUGGGACUGAGACACGGCCCAAACUCCUACGCGAGGCAGCAGUAGGGAAUCGUCUGCAAUGGACGAAAGUCUGACCGAGCAACGCCGCGUGAGUGAAGAAGGUGUUCGGAUCGUAAAACUCUGUUGGUAGAGAAGAACGUUGGUGAGAGUGGAAAGCUCAUCAAGUGACGGUAACUACCCAGAAAGGGACGGCUAACUACGUG